rnacentral:rRNA from 1 species
GACAGAGGUGCCAAGCGUUAGGCGGAAUUACUGGGCGUAAAGCGUGCGCAGGCGGUUAUGUAAGACAGAUGUGAAAUCCCCGGGGCUCAACCUGGGAACUGCAUUUGUGACUGCAUAGCUAGAGUACGGUAGAGGGGGAUGGGAAUUCCGCGUGUAGCAGUGAAAUGCGUAGAUAUGCGGAGGAACACCGAUGGCGAAGGCAAUCCCCCUGGGCCUGUACUGACGCUCAUGCACGAAAGCGUGGGGAGCAAACAGG